CUGAGUAACAAUGACCUGAAGGAUUCAGGAGUGAAGCUGCUCUCUGCUGGACUGGGGAAUCCCCACUGUAAACUGGAGACUCUGAGGCUGUCAGGCUGUCAGGUCAAAGUGGAAGGAUGUGGUUCUCUGGGCUCAGCUCUGAGGUCAAACCCCUCACACCUGAGAGAGCUGGAUCUGAGUAACAAUGACCUGAAGGAUUCAGGAGUGAAGCUGCUCUCUGCUGGACUGGGGAAUCCCCACUGUAAACUGGAGACUCUGAGGCUGUCAGGCUGUCUAGUCACAGAGGAAGGCUGUGCUUUUCUGGUCUCAGCUCUGAGGUCAAACCCCUCACACCUGAGACAGCUGGAUCUGAG